rnacentral:rRNA from 1 species
AACGCUGGCGGCAGGCCUAACACAUGCAAGUCGAGCGGUAACAGAAAGUAGCUUGCUACUUUGCUGACGAGCGGCGGACGGGUGAGUAAUGCUUGGGAACAUGCCUUGAGGUGGGGGACAACAGUUGGAAACGACUGCUAAUACCGCAUAAUGUCUACGGACCAAAGGGGGCUUCGGCUCUCGCCUUUAGAUUGGCCCAAGUGGGAUUAGCUAGUUGGUGAGGUAAUGGCUCACCAAGGCAACGAUCCCUAGCUGGUUUGAGAGGAUGAUCAGCCACACUGGAACUGAGACACGGUCCAGACUCCUACGGGAGGCAGCAGUG